rnacentral:sRNA from 1 species
GCCCAAUUUCGCACGUGCCUGUGGUCGCGUGCCGGUCAUCGCAGGACCUGGGUGCCACGCCUCCGCUGUUCGCAGCGGCUGGAGCGGGCCUGGAUCCUGCGGGGCAAUGACCGGUCUUCCGGAUUGAACCGGACCCUGCGGUGGACGUUGGCAGCGAGGAGCUGCCGAUCAACCCAACGCAGCGCGACUUGAAGCAACGACGUAGAGGGCUUUU